CUUCAGGACAGAGUGCAGUCUGUUGAGAGCUGGGCUUUCAAAAUGGUACUUUACUCUAGCUGCGUAAGACUUUGGACACAGCAUGAGUGGGACACAGCAUGAGCUCCCUCUCUGGAGCAGUGCCAUUGCUUACUCUCCAGUCUCCAGGCAGUUUCCUAUGUUAGCUUCAGAGCCUAUGAAGUUUAAGGGGCUCUCUCGUGGCUGGUAUUGCAGUUCACAGUGGGAAUUUCAACCACUGAGGAGUACUUCACUUAUCCUUUUCCCACACUGGGGAGUCUCUCCAAGCUCAUAGCUGAUCCCCGCCAAGCAGGCUGCUUCACUUCCCUCUCCUUUUUCGCUUUAGGUGUUUCCUGUCACAUCCCUAUUGAAUUCCAGUGUUAUCCAAUGAUCUAUUGAAAAUGUGAUUACCUACUCGCUAAUUAGUCUCCUUUUUACAGAAGAGACAGAAUACCGACUUACUGUGAAAACUUUUAUCUGCAAAUCCAGUUUUGCACUUCGAAUAUGGAAAAACUGAACUUACAUAAUUUGAAGGAUGUUGGUGAUCUCUGCACACGCUGGCUCCAUUUUGCCUUCCAUCAUGAGUAGAAGCAGCCCAAGGCCUUCACCACAUUUCCUAUCUUGAACCUUCCAGCAAGAAGAAUCAUGAACCAAAUAAACUGCUUUUCUUUAUAAACUAUUCAGCUUCAUGUAUUCCUUUACAGCAACACUAAAUGGACUAAGACAAAUUGAUAAAGAAAAUGUGAUAUCUAUACAUCUCUCUGUCUAUAAAGAUAAGAUACCAAUUACAAUGGAACAUUGUUCAGCCAUAAAAAGAAGAAAAUUCUGGAAUUUCAGAUGUCAUGGAUGAAUCUGGAGGAAAUUAUGCAAAGAAAAAUAAGCUAGACACAGAAAGACAAAUACUAUAUAAUCUCACUUAUACGUGGAAUCUGAAAAGUUGAACUCGGAAGCAGAGACUGAAUGGUAGUUGCCAGGGGCUGGGAGCAGGGAGAAGAGAAUUGAAAGAAGGAAACGGGAGAUAUUGGUCAAAGAGACAAACAUUCAGUUAUAAGGUGAAUAAGUUCUGGAGAUCUAAUAUAUAUAGCAUGGUAACGAUCAUUAAUUAUACCAUAUUGUAUACUUGAAAUUUGCUGAAAGUAAAUCUUAAGGGUUCUCAACAAAUACAUACAAAAAAAAGAUCACCUUACAUUACUAUGAAAGAUGAUGGAUGUGUUAACUAGCUUGAUUUUGGUAAUCAUUUCACACUGUAUAUGUAUAUCAAGUCAUGUUAUACACCUUAAAUAUAUACCGUUUUGUAUGUGGAUUACCUCAAUAAAGCUGUGGGGUGAGGAAAGAUUUGAAAAAUAUAAUAUUAUAAGCCCUAAAACUUUGAGUAAAGCUUUGAGAUUCAAGAUUUUCAAGGUCUGAAAAAUAAUGAAUUCCUUUCAUUAACAUGUAAAUUUUAGAAUCAGCCUGUUGAUUUUCACACACACACACACGCACACACACAUACACAUUGGAAUUGUUUUGAAGCCAUAGAUCAAUUUGAGAAGAACUGACAGAUUUAAAUAUUGUGUUUUCCAGGCCAUGAACAUGUUAUAUAGCUCCAUUUAUUUGUGUCUUCCUUAGUUUUUUUUUUUCAGUAAUUGUUCAUACUUUUCUAUAUAGAAGUCAUGCACAAUUUUUGUAGUUAUGUCCUUAGCUGUUCAGCAUUUUUUAUGGUCUUAUAAUGCUAUUUUUCAAUAAUUUCUCUUUGUUCAUGGCAUACACACACACACACACACACACACAUAAAAUUGAUUCUUAUGUGUUUACAGUACAUCCACUGACCUUUGCUUGAUUCAUUUAUUUAGUCUAAUAGGUUAUAUGUAGAUGACUUUGGAUUUUCUAUGCAUAUAAUCAUGUCAUCUGCAAUAACAAUAGUUUUAUUUCUCCUUUUGAAUAAUUUUACUUGAGGCAAACUGGUUUAAGAUUGUCAUAACUUCCUUUGGAAUUGAUCAUUUUGACUUUAUGAAGUGGCACCCUUUAUGUCCAUUAAUACUUCUUACAUUAAACUCUAAUGAGUCUGGCAUUAGCAUAGCUAUAGCAUCUAUCUUUUUAAACAUUCUUAUGGUAUAUAUUUCCAUCUUUUUACUCUCAAUUUUAGGUAUAUAAUUGGAAUAUAUGUAUAUAUGUGGGUAGCAUAUAGUUGGGCUUUAUUUUUAAAAUCCAGUUUGACAAAAUUUAUCUUGGAGUUUUAUUUCAUUUGUAGGUAAUAUAAAUACUGAUAUACUUGUAGUUGCCUUUAAUUUUGACAUGUAGCAUAUCUCAAAUAAAGAAUUCUGAACAUAGAACAAUAGUACAAAAUACAUUUCUAAGUAUUUAGAGGCAUAACUCUUCUACUAGAAAAGACUAAACCCAGAGUAAGAGAGAGAGAGAGAGAGAGAUCUUCCACAGAUAUGCAAGUAUGAAGAGGAGGUUAUAUAUAAAGAGAGCCAGCCAUAAACACUGUUUUCCAAGUAGGCUCAGGAAGGCACCUUUUGACUGCAUAUUACAAAUUCAUAAAGAAUACUUGAGCUGGGCUCAAAUGGAAAGACAAAUUUCAAUAUCACCUAGAUCUCACAAAAGCAGAGCAUUCCAUGUCUUGUUUCAAGGUUGAGAAGUUGCUGCUAUUAGUUUGCGUUCUCCCCUUCCCCAGUUGGAUGAAAGUUGUAAAUGUUAGGGAGAGGUAAAUUAUAGUUUUGAUGCAUGAUCACCCACACUGACAAAUCAAAAUGGUACCUUGCUAUUUCCCUAGUCUAGUAUGUAAAAAUAUACUACAUCGAAGGAAUAUUUAGUAUUAGUAAGAAAAAUAAAUAUGAGAAAUACAGAUCCAAGCCCAAGAGAAAUUUUAGUGAGAUCAAUUCCUCACAUAAUCUAAUACCUAGAACCCUUACGUGAGAGGCUGUAUAGUAUAGAGGUCUAGAGUUUACUACAUGUCCAAGAUUAGGCUAUGGAAACCAACUCUUAGGUAUGCUACUUACCAAAUCUAUGAGUUAAAGACAAAUCCUAAAAUUUUUGUUGACUCAGUUUCCUCAUCUGUGAAAUGAGAAACAAUAACAGAAACUACUAUGUAAGGUAAUGUGGAGAUUAAAUUGCAUCUAAAGCAAUUGGAAAACUGCCCAGCAGAUAUAGCAAGUGUUCAAAAUGGUUAUUAUUGUCGUCAUCAUCAUCAUCAUCAUCAUCAUCAUCAUCACUGUGAUCACCUAAGUAUCCGUCCAUCUUUCAUAAGUUUCAGAUAUAUAAACAGCAGUGCUUCUAAGUUUCAAAUUACACCUCAUUGUUGAUGCUCUCUCAACAACAGUACAAAAGAUAGUCAUCGUACCACCAUCAAUGCAUGGAAGGAACCAUAAGCACAAUAUUAUAUAUUCAGUCAGCCUUUACUAUUGACAAUCAGCUUGAACAAUCAGCUUUUCUAUUCCUAAGACAGGAUAGCUAUAGAGAAAAGAGACUUAAAUAUGAAAGCUGUCCACAUCUAUUUCAAGGACAAAAAAGACACUCUUUCAGCUCUCUACUCAUAUUGCAGCAAUGCACAGGAAUUGGACACAAAAAAUCGGCAAAGAGUCUUUUAUAUUUUGUCGUAUAUUCUCAGGACAUGGAUUUAAGCUGUAAUUCAAAUUUAUUUCUCAUACUGCACAUAUGCUUAUAUUUGUUAUAAAAUUGAAAAUGACAGAAGAUUGUGGGUUAUACUUCAAAGAUAAAUUUUUAAAAAAUACAAUGCAUUAUAAUUUUUAUAGUCAGUAUUCUGUGUAAUAGAUCCCUAAAGAUUUUUCCUCCUCUCUUCUGGAAACUGUACCUUUUGAUCAACAUCUCUCCUAUCUCCAUCACCUUCCCCUCCCCAAGUCUCUCGUAAGACCUCUACCCUCUACUUCCAGGAGUUCAACUUUUUUUUCAAUUCUACAUAUAAAUGGGGUCAUACUGUAUUUGUCUUUGUGUGCCAGCUUUUUUCACUUAGCAUAAUGUCCUCCAGGUUCAUCCAUGCUGUUGUAAAUGACAUGAUUUCCCCCUUUUACAAGGCUGAGUAAUACUUCAUUAGGUAUGUAUACCAAACUUUACUCAUUCAUCUGAUGAUGGAGAGGUUGCUUCCAUGUCUUGGCUAUUGUGAAUAAUGCUGCAAUAAACAUGGGAGUGCAAAUAUCUCCUCAGCAUACUGAUUUCAAUUCCCUUGGUCAUAUACCCAGAAAGGGGAUUACUGGAACAUAUGAUAGUUCUAUUUUCUAAGGAACCUCCAUAACGGUUUUCAUCAUAACUAUAUUAAUUUACUUUCCUACCAAUAAUGUACAAAGGUUUCCUUUUCUCCACCUCCUCGCCAACACUUAACAUCUCUUGUUUUUUGGUAAUACCCAUUCUAACAGGUGUGUGAUAAUAUUUCAUUAUGGUUUUCAUUUGCAUUUUCCUGAUGACCAGCGAUGAAAAGCAUAGUGUCUUGUAUCUGAUGACCAUUUGUAUAUCCUCUUUUGAAAUGUAUCUAUUUAGUUUCUUUGCACAUUUUUUGAUUGGGUUUUGUUUCCUUGCUAUUCAGUUGUUUGAAUUCCUGAUAUAUUUUUGAUAUUAGCCCUUAUCAGACGUAUGCUUUGCAAAUAUUUUCUCCCAAUCCAUGGGUUGUCUAUUCAGAGGUCAAUAUUUUUAUUUCUAAUUAUAUGGAGUUUAUAAAUUAUCUAGACGCAAAAUUAUAUAUUUGUUUUACUUGUUUGGCAUUUACUGUGUUAUUUUUAUUUUUCUCAUUUUUGCAAUAAAUAUUUACAGUCCUUAUACCUUGUUUUGGAGCUAGGAGGAAAACUUUAUUAAGUCAUCCAAGACAGAAUUAGAGUGACCAUCAAUAUGAAGACUCCUUCCCACAGGAUAGGCAGAAACUCAAACUUACAAAAGAUACAGAAAAAAAAAUCUAUCCUUUACAACAAUCCAAAUUAUUUUAAACUCAUUUUUAACUUAACUUUCCACAAACAAUAUAUUUUCCAUAUUUUCUAAAGGUCUAUUGGGGGAGCCAGAGUCUGUGUAAUAUGCUCAGUCCAUCAUCUUGAAACAAUUCCAAAAAAACAUAUCUUCAUUUUCUAAACUCCUAAUUUAUCUACUUUUCAUAUGGCAUUUGCCACUCUCUACCUUGUGCUUCAAUUAUCUGAGCCAUUGUCCUCUCUCCCCUACUAGCUCCUAUAGUGACAAGUAGACAUGGCCAUAGAGAUGCAAG
rnacentral:lncRNA from 1 species